GCUCGUUGUCUAGGGGUAUGAUUUUUGCUUCAGGUGCCAAAGGUCUUGGGUUCAAAUCCCGGACGAGCA